rnacentral:rRNA from 1 species
GAUCAUGGCUCAGGACGAACGCUGGCGGCGUGCCUAACACAUGCAAGUCGAGCGGGGACAUACGACGGAGUCAAAGUUUCGGAUGGAGACGAAGAUGUAUGUUCUAGCGGCGGACGGGUGAGUAACGCGUGAGCAACCUGUCCCUUACAGGGGGAUAACACAGCGAAAGUUGUACUAAUACCGCAUGAGACCACGGGAGGACAUCCUCCAGGGGUCAAAGGAGCAAUCCGGUAAGGGGUGGGCUCGCGUCCGAUUAGAUAGUUGGUGAGGUAACGGCCCACCAAGUCGACGAUCGGUAGCCGACCUGAGAGGGUGAUCGGCCACAUUGGGACUGAGACACGGCCCAAACUCCUACGGGAGGCAGCAGUGGGGAAUAUUGGGCAAAUGGGGGAAACCCUGACCCAGCAACGCCGCGUGAGGGAAGAAGGUUUUCGGAUCGUAAACCUCUGUCCUUGGUGAAGAGGAAGAGACGGUAGCCAAGGAGGAAGCCCCGGCUAACUACGUGCCAGCCGCGGC